rnacentral:SRP_RNA from 1 species
GAUGGGCGUGGUGACGUGCUCCUGUAAUCUAGCUACUUGGUGGCCAGGGUGCGGGAUUUCGUGGGACCGGGAGUUCUGGCAUAUGGGUGCUCAUGUUGAUCGGGCGUCCACGUUAAGCACGGCGCCGAUAUGGAUGACCUAUCGGAGGGUGGGUUGUCCAGGUCGUCUAAGGAGGGGUGGACUGGCCCGGGGGGAAACCCAGAGGGCAAAAGUCCCUGUGUGGUGCGGUAGCGAGGUAGCGCCUGUGAAUUGUGUCCAUCUGACAGCCCAGCGUGAAGACCGCCUCCUUU